rnacentral:lncRNA from 1 species
CCUGAGCGCUACAAGAUAGAGCAGAAGUUAGUAACAGAAAGAGGGCUUCUCGGGCUCCUGGAUGAAAACUGAAGCACAGCGGAAAAGUAGAGAAUCUCUACAAUAAAGGCACAUCAGACCACUGUACUUGGUCUGCUGCUGGCUUGCUAAUGGAAAUUUGUUCAAAUCACAAAGCUACCACACAAUUUGCCCAAUUCAACAGAAAUAUCUGUCUGCAUUGAUUCAGUUCAAGUGAAGCCUCAUUUGGAACAGCAAGGAAGUUUCAG